rnacentral:rRNA from 1 species
AUCUGACCUCAAAUCAAGUAGGACUACCCGCUGAACUUAA